ensembl:lncRNA
CAGGUUUAUAAUAUUUGGAUGUUUUAUUUUCUUGAAAUCAAGCAGGUUACAUUUCAUUAGUUUUUACACAAUCUGAUAUUUGGAGCCAUUUGCAAAUAUGCUCAUAAAUUACAUGAUUUGUAAUCCUUAUCGAAAAAAAUCAUAAAAGAAUGAGGUGGUUAAUGAUCAAUAUUGGGAUCAACAGUGAUCACCCUACUGUAGGCAUUACGUAUGCAGGCAGAAAAAUAAAAGUUCCCAUUAAGGUCUCAUGUGAAACACCACAGGUCUGAAAUACUCAGGAACACAGGAAAAUGGUACAAAAAUGAAUUUCAAUUUUUUGCUAAAGAGACAUUGACAGGCCCACAGAGAGCCUGGAGCUCACGGGACAACAUUCACACACAUUCUGCUUCAUGAAGAGGUCAGAUUAUCGUCAGACCAUAGACAUUACAUGCAAGGACACUGAACCUUUGGCCGGAUUACACAUAGAAAUGCAAUCCUAAACAAAAUGGGUAAAGAUAAAGCAUGUUUAUUGAUGCGGCAAACAAAGGUUCAAAUAUCCUCCAAAGCACUUCAAGCCCUCAAAGAAUGAAACUCAAAACGCAGAUGAGGUAAAAGAAGAAACUUCUAAAUUAAAGUGGAGCGACCCAGGGACAAGUCUGGUUUGGGUUAAAGAUUAUGGAUGGUUAACUUUGUGUAACGCGUUUGGACAAGCAAGUUUAGGUUUUAGGCAAGCGAGUUUAGGCAGGCGACUUCAGGUAUUAGGCAAGCGAGUUUAGCCAAGCGAGUACAGGCAAGCGAGUCAAGCCAAGCGAGUUUAGGUAUUAGGCAAGCGAGUUUAGGCAAGCGGGUUUAGGCAAGCGGGUUUAGGCAAGCGGGUUCAGGUAUUAGGCAAGCGAGUUUAGGCAAGCAAGUUCAGGUAUUAGGCAAGCGACGCGAGUUUAGCCAAGCAAGUUCAGGUUUUAUGCAAGCGAGUUUAGACAAGCGAGUUUAGGCAAGCAAGUUUAGGUAAGAGAGUCAAGUUACUUUAGGCCUCACUUUAUUUGCGGUUAAAUUGCGGCAUUAGGUUUAGAAAGAAGGUUAAGAUCCAGGCUCAGGUUUGCUUCCAGCCUCGUCCCUCUAGCCGCUCCCUAUAAAGAGGGUUCCCAGCUACAGUGUUAAAAUACAACAGCUGGGAUUACAGAUGUGGAGUACAGAAAUAAAUGACAAAGAUUGAUUCAAACAUUCUUCCCCCAAAAUGUGGUGCAACAUAAUGGAGAAAAUAAUUACUUUCUCUCCAUUGAAACCCAGUCAUAUCUUACGAUCUCACGAGGUCCCACCGCAAGGGGCGGACUUACAAGCUCUAUAGAGUGUGCACUGUGUGUUAAUGUUGGGUGUGGAUUAAUGUGCUGGUGUAGCCAGGGAUCCUCAGGGUUUAUGGGGAGUAGGACACACUGGUGUAGUUCAGUGCUGUGAAGUAAAUUGAUGCAAAAAGUAGAAUCAGUUUCAAGGGCAAUCAAAUGUCUAUAAAUGCAG